AGUGUGCUCUUGCGAUCAUGACUGUUGCAGGCAGCACCCUUCUCAGAAGUAAAUUUGCCUUGCUGAGAAGUCUUUUGAGAGCUCAUUUUCUUUGCAACUCCGAGCUCUUAUUUCCAACUAUUUGGGGGCUCAUCUGGCAUCCCAUUCUCCUCUAGGGAAGGGUCUCUGAUCACCUCUCAUGAGGAGAUGCGUCCUGCUGCCUCAUUGCAAUGGCCUCAGGAAUAAGGAAUCAAGACCCACCUGGUGUGACGAAUAAACCUGGACUCUCAGCAAUGAAGGAAGAAAAGUCCUACAAAUACUGUGGCGACCAGGUAACUCCUCUGCACACACCAAGGAUUCAAGGCCUCCUAGCGCAAACACCACCUCUCAAAUUCCCAGUCCACCAACAUCAACCCAGAGAUCACAUCCUUGUCAAAAUCUGGAAAGAGGGAAAGCUUGAGCCCACCUGAGAAGAACCUUACCUAGUGCUCCUAACAACUGAGCAGUCCGAACUGCUGAAAAGGGGUGGAUCCAUUAUACCCAAGUCAGAAAGGCACUGCCCUCUCCAAAGCCAUGGACCGUCGUCCCAGGGCCAACUCUCACCAGAGUAACAUUAAAGAGAAAAGCCUAA